UAUAACCGUUUGGUAUAGCAACCUGGCGGUUGUCAAACCUGGCUGUAUGCUGGAACCUCCGAGUAUCCGGCGGUACUCGAUUCGUGUCGGUAGCGAGAGAUACGUUGCUGGCAUGAUCAGUGAAAAUCCGACCGGUGCGGACGAUCAGCAGGAAACCCACGGCCGGUCUCUCGAUCCCAAUUGGGUGUGCGGCUUCGUUGAUGGAGAAGGAUGCUUUUCCGUCUCGGUGCAUCGCAACCCGGGUGCGAAGAGGACUCACGGAUGGCAGCUGCAGGCUGCCUUCCAGGUCUAUCAGCAUCAGCGCGAUCGGGAGAUUCUCGAGCGUAUCCGGCGCACCUUCGAGUGUGGAGCGAUCCACCCCAAGGGUGCGCAGAGCUCGGUCUUGACCUUCACGGUGUGGAGCAUGAGAGACCUCGAGUGGCGGGUCAUCCCGUUCUUCGAGGAGCACCGGCUCCAGGUGAAGCAACGUGACUUUGAGCUGUUUGCGCAGAUCGUGAGAGCGAUGCGGCGCAAGGAGCACCUCGAGCGCGAUGGCUUCGAGCGGCUGGCUCGAUUGGCCUACUGCAUGAACGCAGUGGGCAAGCAGCGAGCCCGAACCAUCGAUGAGGUCCUGACGGGAUCCUCAGAGACUGUACGCCAGGCACCCCCAAGGGGGGUGAUGAGACAGUCCGACCCCCAUGGCGACAUGGGGAGUCAGGCAGAAAUGACCUGACCACCCAACCACCCAUGCGCGGUGGAUGGGGAGCAACAAGAGUGCCUAAGGUAGCGAAAUUCCUUGUCGGGUAAGUUCCGACCUGCACGAAUGGCGUAACGAUUUGGGCGCUGUCUCGACCACGGACUCGGCGAAAUUGCAGUGUGAGUAAAGAUGCUCACUUCCUGCGACAGGACGGAAAGACCCCGGGACCUUUACUACAGCUUGGCAUUGGAGUCUGGUGUGGCAUGUGUAGGAUAGGUGGGAGACUUGGAAGCAGCGGCGCAAGCCGUUGUGGAGUCAACGUUGAAAUACCACCCUUGGCAUAUCGGGCUUCUAACCUCGGUCCGUUAUCCGGAUCAGGGACGUUGCCUGGCGGGUAGUUUCACUGGGGUGGUGGCCUCCCAAACUGUAACGGAGGCGCCCAAAGGUUCCCUCAGUCUGGUUGGCAAUCAGACGGCGAGUGUAAGGGCACAAGGGAGCUUGACUGCAAGACCUACGAGUCGAGCAGAUGCGAAAGCAGGGCCUAGUGAUCCUACGGCGGCAUGUGGAAGCGCCGUGGCUCAUCGGCUAAAAGGUACCCCGGGGAUAACAGGCUAAUCUUGCCCAAGAGUCCAUAUCGACGGCAAGGGUUGGCACCUCGAUGUCGGCCCGUCGCAUCCUGGGGCUGGAGCAGGUCCCAAGGGUCGGGCUGUUCGCCCGUUAAAGCGGUACGCGAGCUGGGUUUAGAACGUCGUGAGACAGUUCGGUCCCUAUCCGUCGCAGGCGCAGGAGGUCUGAGGAGGCCUAUCCCUAGUACGAGAGGACCGGGAUGGACGUACCUCUGGUGUGCCAGUUGUCCUGCCAAGGGCAUCGCUGGUUGGCUAUGUACGGAACGGGUAAGCGCUGAAGGCAUCUAAGUGCGAAACCGGCUCCAAGAUGAGACCUCCCACCGUUCGCGGGUAAGGCCCCUGGUAGAACACCAGGUUGAUAGGCCGGACGUGGAAGCGCAGCAAUGCGUUGAGCUGACCGGUACUAAUCGGCCGAGGGCUUGAAGAA
rfam:Actinobacteria bacterium RBG_16_70_17 RBG_16_scaffold_21903, whole genome shotgun sequence.